rnacentral:rRNA from 1 species
CAGAGGGGGCAAGCGUUAUUCGGAAUUAUUGGGCGUAAAGGGCGCGUAGGCGGCUUUGCAAGUGGCGGGUGAAAUCCCUCGGCUUAACCGAGGAACUGCCUGCCAGACUGUGAGGCUUGAGACCGGGAGAGGUGAGUGGAAUUCCCAGUGUAGCGGUGAAAUGCGUAGAUACUGGGAGGAACACCAGUGGCGAAGGCGGCUCACUGGACCGGAACUGACGCUGAGGCGCGAAAGCGUGGGGAGCAAACAGGAUUAGAUACCCUGGUAGUCCACGCCGUAAACGAUGAGUGCUUGGUGUAGCGGGUAUCGACCCCUGCUGUGCCGACGUCAACACAUUAAGCACUCCGCCUGGGGAGUACGGUCGCAAGACUG